rnacentral:rRNA from 1 species
GACGAACGCUGGCGGCGUGCUUAACACAUGCAAGUCGAACGGUGAAGCGCCUUCCUUUUUGGUGGGUGUGGAUGAGUGGCGAACGGGUGAGUAACACGUGAGUAACCUGCCCCCUUCUUCUGGAUAACCGCAUGAAAGUGUGGCUAAUACGGGAUAUUCUGGGUCUGUCGCAUGAUGGGUCUGGGAAAGAUAUUGUUUCGGUGGGGGAUGGGCUCGCGGCCUAUCAGCUUGUUGGUGGGGUGAUGGCCUACCAAGGCGGUGACGGGUAGCCGGCCUGAGAGGGUGGACGGUCAAAGUGGGACGGAGACACGGCCCAGACUCCUACGGGGGGCAGCGGGGGGGAAUAUUGCACAAGGGGGGAAAGCCGGAUGCGGCGACGCCGGGGGAGGGAGGGAGGCCGUCGGGUGGGGAACCUUUUUCGCCAGGGAAGCAGGCCUGCCUCGGUGGGGGGGGGGUUGACGGUAGUGGGAAAAGAAGCCCCAGCUAACUACGU